CCCCUCUCGGGAUCGUGCCUGAAGAGUUUCCAGUACUCUACCAGUCUCGACUAUGAAAGGGAGAGUCAAGCAGAGACAUACCCAUUUCAUUCCUAGCUUGGACAAUGGCUAGCAAGUGGAAGGCAACCUGCUACAGGU